GGAGUGAAAAGACUGAAGGCACCUGCUUUAAACCAAAUCGCUUUCAUGUUAAUAAUCUGCAUAUUGUAUAAUAAGGACAAUGCAUCACUUCCUGUAUAGCGCCACAACCUGAUGCUGGAGAGACAGACAGACAGACAGAGAGAGAGGGAGAAAAUGAGAGCGAAAUGGUUAGCCUCUUCUCUUUUCCUCUCUCCGACUCUCCUGUACCCAGAAGGAUCUUGUUUUUGUUUUUUUCAUGGCUUGUGGUUGUGGGUUUUGUGCAGCAGAGAGAUCAGGCGUGAAGGUAACUGAAUGUGUUGGAGCUGCUGCUUCAUAAAACAGCCAGAGGCUCGUAUCUUCUCAGACGGACGCUUCUUUCAUUCCUGCUGUGAAGCUCAUCAUCCCAGAGAUCUGAGUGCAGACCGAAUGUGAAUAUCAUCGUAUCGUAGUGGUUUAAAACGACACGUUCAUCUUAAUCAGAUGUUUUGACAGACACAUGGUUAGGAGACGGGGUGGAUAUGCUGAAGAACAGUUUCUGGCAUUGCCCUUUCCUUUGUGAGACCACACUCGGUUUUACUGCUUUGGAUUUUAUGUUGUUGGACUCGGGAGCAGAUGAGACGGAGGCUCUGUUCUGAUUUCUAUCGUACCGAGGCAUCCUGGGAUUUCCCAUCAAACACUGUUGCAUGUGAGAAGAGAGAUUCGGGUUAACUAAAGAAUUUCAUAUCAGUUUUAACACACAGGAUAUUUAUACAGGUCUUGUGUCCUUCACCCAGUCAGAGUUGUUGUGGAUAAGACCUGAGGUCUGAGAGAUCCCCGUCACAACACUCCAGCACUGUGUAAUGCAGUGAUUCUUUUGUUUAUAGUGUUGCUGUGAUACACCAAAACAUGAUGAUAUGUAACACGCCCAUGGAAAAGCGUGUUCUUUGAUGGACGAUGAAAAUUCAUUCUGGACAUCAUUUAAGGAGCUGAGAAUAAAACUGUGUUAGCCAGAGAACAGAGCAGAACCAAUCAGAACCACAGCUGAUCAUAUACAUUACAUACAUACUUGUCUGUGAGUUCCUUCUCAGUAAAGCGCUCCAAAAAGAUGGCUUUUGUGGACUUUAUAUAGACAGACAUUAAAUACACAUCACUAAAUGUGAAAGUGAAGAACGAGAGCCUUCGAGAUGGUGAAGCAGUGAAAGUCUGUAAAAUACCACAGCUUUAAAGCUGGUACAGAAAUGAAACACAUCCAGUUUAUAGAAAAACAUGUAAUUUCACGUUCUGCCUGACAUUGUCCUUCACACACUGUAAACUGAAGGCUAUGAUAAAGGUAUUAAAUGUAUAUGUGUGCUAUGCUGUACACUUGUACACUGUGUAAAGGAUUUUUACAAAUAUUAACAUGAUAUUUUAAAAACAAAAAAACAGCUGACUGUCCACAAGCUUUAAAGCAGAAGUUAAAUCACUACAUUAAAAAUGCUAAAGAAUAAAAACAAAAGCAGAAACUAAGUGUAAAGUGGACAAGACUUUAUGUAAAAUGGAAAUACUGGUGGGAAUUUCUAACAUUUACAGAUAAGGAUAUGAAGAUAAACGUCAUUUCGGUGCUGAAGAAAACACGUCUGGAACACGUUAAACAGUAAACGCGUCUGUCGCGGCAUCUGACACGACGAGACACGUUAAUACACGUU